CAAAGUCCCCACAAAACGCGCGCCAUAACCGAAGGCUAUAGUAUAGGGCCGAAGUGAUGGUGGUGAAUGUGGCGCCGCCCCACUCCCACCCACCGAGCAAAGGAAAGAAGUGGGCCCUAUGUUCACCGAAGAUUUCGGUGUGGGUCCCUCAAUCAUCUCUUAUUUGUUCCUUCAAACUAACUUACGGCCUAUACCUUGUGCGGCACAACACCAAGAGUAGCAGGCUCCUGCAACAGCGACUGCUAGUUACCAUAUUAGCCGACAUUUUUGCAGAGUAACCUUCUCCCACUGCUCCUCUUUGGAAUUCAGAUUCAGGAAAUUCAGAUGAAAGCUCAAAUCCAUUUCUAAUCCUUGCCUCAAACUCCGUAGUUUCAUUUUUCUCUACAAAUUUCACUCGCCGCCGUGAUGAUGAGCAGCACUUCGCAGCCACCUGGGUUCAUUUUCCCGCGUUACAAAUUCGUUAGUUGGGAUGGCGUUUUCAAGCAAACCUGAAAGUCUAGUAUCUUAUUUUGUUGUUUUCAACUGAGUAAUAAUGCUUUUGAAGUGGGCAUAUUAGCAGGCAAUAACAAGAAAUCACUCACAGGAAAAACCAGUUGUUUUAAUUUUCUAGAGAACUUGUACUGGAAAAUAUGGAUGGCAGGUCAAACUAACCGAAGCGAGUACUAAAAUUGUGAAGAAGUUCAAAUGUUGAGAAUGUGACAGAAGCCAGCAUUUGAUUGUAUGGAGGUGAGUAGCUAUGAUUCCAUUAUCUUCUGAUGAGGAAGCAUUCAAUUCUUCCAUGGCAUCAAAUUUACUACCUGAUAAACGCGCUG